AAAUAGUACCAUCACGUGGCUGAUCACAUGACCUCCCUGAAGUUUCUGUCUCCAUUUUCACCAAAUCCAAAGUCCGGACAGUACAAGAAGAUCCAUGCAGCAGUCAAAAGUUGAGCACAUGAUCCCACAUGACAUGAACCCAAUGCCUGUGGGAUCAGAUCCCCAUUAAAAUUUUACUCCUUGGAGUACUAGCAUUUCAGUUUCAUACACUAAUAAAGAAUGAAUCAACUUCAGUGUUCACCCUCAUAACAUCAUUGUAAGUACCUUUAGCUCUAACACAAUGCAACAGGCCUCAGAACCGUAAGAACCAAGAUCCUCCACUACCAUGAAGAGCUGGUCCAUAGCAUUGGCUGCGUUUUCUCUUACACUGUCUCUGUUAUUGUCAACCUGGUCUACUAGUGCCAAAGUCGAGGCUCGCCCAUCCAUACAAGUGCGCUCUUUGCCGCAAAGCAAGACUUCAUCUGCUCAAGCUCUCAAAGAUUUCCACUCAUAUAGGAAGAAAUUUUCCAAGGUAGAUUCAAGUUUCCGAAGGAUACCUCCAAGCAAAUCAAAUCCCACACAAAACAAGUUCAAUCCUCCAGCGUACGGCUGAGAAAGAUAGAACGAAUUACCCCACUCUUUCCUUUUCUUAUUUCUUUCAUUUCAUUUUUAUUGCCUCUUCUAAACAAGCAUAAGGAUGUCAGUAUACACUGGUAUUUCACCUUCUAACAGACAAGUGCCAAAGACUGUUAGUACUUCAACUUACAUAGUAUUUACCAGCUUUGCUAACUAAGCUUGUUGAGUUCUGUGAUAUACUUCAAUCUGUAUGUAAUAUUGGUAUUAUAAAAUAAGGGGAUCGAUCUCCAGAUUUGUAGAAAAGACUGAUGAUAUAUUAGACAGAACAAAAUACUAUGUUUGGAGGAGAUUCAUAGCAGGAAAAUAUUUAUAACUUAUUCAA